AACGAACGCUGGCGGCAUGCCUAACACAUGCAAGUCGAACGAGACCUUCGGGUCUAGUGGCGCACGGGUGCGUAACGCGUGGGAACCUGCCCUUAGGUUCGGAAUAACUCCCCGAAAGGGGUGCUAAUACCGGAUAAUGUCUUCGGACCAAAGAUUUAUCGCCUUUGGAUGGGCCCGCGUUGGAUUAGCUAGUUGGUAGGGUAAAAGCCUACCAAGGAGACGAUCCAUAGCUGGUCUGAGAGGAUGAUCAGCCACACUGGGACUGAGACACGGCCCAGACUCCUACGGGAGGCAGCAGUGGGGAAUAUUGGACAAUGGGCGAAAGCCUGAUCCAGCAAUGCCGCGUGAGUGAUGAAGGCCUUAGGGUUGUAAAGCUCUUUUACCCGGGAUGAUAAUGACGGUACCGGGAGAAUAAGCUCCGGCUAACUCCGUG
rnacentral:rRNA from 1 species